GCAGUAGACGCUGAAGUCUGGUGCUUGCACUAGACGGAUGAGUUGCGAACGGGUGAGUAACGCGUAGGUAACCUGCCUCAUAGCGGGGGAUAACUAUUGGAAACGAUAGCUAAUACCGCAUAACAGUAUUUACCGCAUGGUAGAUACUUGAAAGGAGCAAUUGCUUCACUAUGAGAUGGACCUGCGUUGUAUUAGCUAGUUGGUGAGGUAACGGCUCACCAAGGCAUCGAUACAUAGCCGACCUGAGAGGGUGAUCGGCCACACUGGGACUGAGACACGGCCCAGACUCCUACGGGAGGCAGCAGUAGGGAAUCUUCGGCAAUGGGGGCAACCCUGACCGAGCAACGCCGCGUGAGUGAAGAAGGUUUUCGGAUCGUAAAGCUCUGUUGUAAGAGAAGAACUGUGAGAAGAGUGGAAAGUUUCUCACUUGACGGUAUCUUACCAGAAAGGGACGGCUAACUACGUGCCAGCAGCCGCGGUAAUACGUAGGUCCCGAGCGUUGUCCGGAUUUAUUGGGCGUAAAGCGAGCGCAGGCGGUUCGAUAAGUCUGAAGUAAAAGGCUGUGGCUUAACCAUAGUACGCUUUGGAAACUGUCAAACUUGAGUGCAGAAGGGGAGAGUGGAAUUCCAUGUGUAGCGGUGAAAUGCGUAGAUAUAUGGAGGAACACCGGUGGCGAAAGCGGCUCUCUGGUCUGUAACUGACGCUGAGGCUCGAAAGCGUGGGGAGCGAACAAGAUUAGAUACCCUGGUAGUCCACGCCGUAAACGAUGAGUGCUAGGUGUUGGGUUCUUUCCGGGACUCAGUGCCGCAGCUAACGCAU
rnacentral:rRNA from 1 species